AGCUUCAAGAGUGUAUUCUGUCGUUGUUGCGGUUAAAAAGCUCGUAGUUGAACUUUUCGGAGUUUAUUGGCGUUAUAGGUUCUCCAUUGCGAAAGCAUGGGGAUUUAAAACUGAAACCAGUUACUCUCACAUAUCUCGAGACAUAAAGGGAUCAUGAGUUUGCUCGUGGUUUCGUCCGAGAUGGUUUACUUUGAAUAAAUUAGGGUGUUCAAAGCAGGCGCGAUUGCCCUGCAUACAUCAGCAUGGGAUAAUAGAACAUGACUCGUACCGUCUCUUAGUUGGUUCCCGCGGUAUAGGGUAAUGAUAAACAGGGAUAGUUGGAGUCGCUCGUAUUGAUUGGCGAGAGGUGAAAUUCUAGGACCCUUUCAGGACGAACAAGUGCGAAGGCAUUCGACGAGGAUGUUUUCUUUA
rnacentral:rRNA from 1 species